rnacentral:rRNA from 1 species
UUGAAUUGAAGAGUUUGAUCAUGGCUCAGAUUGAACGCUGGCGGCAGGCCUAACACAUGCAAGUCGAACGGUAACAGGAAGCAGCUUGCUGCUUUGCUGAC